rnacentral:rRNA from 1 species
GAGUUUGAUCCUGGCUCAGGAUUAACGCUGGCGGCGUGCCUAAUACAUGCAAGUCGAACGGAAGUACCUUCGGGUACUUUAGUGGCGAACGGGUGAGUAAUACAUAGGUAACCUACCCUUAAGACGAGGAUAGCCAUUGGAAACGAUGGAUAAAACUGGAUAGGAUAUAGAGGAAGAAUCUUUUAUAUUUAAAAGAGAGAUCUGCUUAAGGAGGGGCCUGUGGCGCAUUAGCUAGUUGGUGGGGUAAGGGCCUACCAAGGCGAUGAUGCGUAGCCGGACUGAGAGGUUGAACGGCCACAAUGGAACUGAGAACGGUACAUACUCCUACGGGAGGCAGCAGUAGGGAAUUUUCGGCAAUGGGGGGAACCCUGACCGAGCAACGCCGCGUGAACGAAGAAGUUAUUCGU